AGGCUCCCCGCUGGAGGCUUCUCCCCAGAGAAGGAGCAGUGAAGUUGGGUCCUCCAGGCAUGCCUAGAAAGGCUGCAGGGAAGCAGCCAAUCAGAAUGCAGCAGGCUCAGUUAAAAGGAGGUGCAGGGCGUACCCAGGUCAGUUGCUGGCUGGGACCAGAAGGGUGAGGCAGACUGUGAGAGACUCCCAGUGAAGUGGCCUGUGGGAGACCUGGUCAACAAAGAACUUUCACCCUGAGGGUCAGUGAGACCUGCUGAGGACAGAGUCUCCAGGGAGGAAGCUCUGGGAGCAUGGCUCUAAACCACGGCAGGGACAGACUCAAAGCUAGCCCAGGAGGGGCUGAGAACUGAGCUCAGAGACAGGACUGCAGACGUUACCAACGACACAGGGGUCAAGCUCUGUUGGACCUUGUUUGUUGUAUGUUGACUGUGUGUGACUUGGCUGGAGGGCUGAGACACUGAAGACUCGCCUGAUGAGGGAAUUGCCGAUGGCGGGGGCACCAUGAGCAGAGAGAGUGAAGGUUCACACACACCUGCCAGGAGGAGCUCAGGAGAGCUGUUUCCCUCCAUUUCCUGGCUUCCAAAAAUCUUCCCAAGAGGAGCUCCACCUUAGCUACUACAGACUCCCUUCGAGAGAAUUGAGUCAUUAACCACUGGAUCAGCUUGCCAGGGCUUUGCAUCCACCUGCUCUGAUCCCCACUGAAGUCCAUGGCAGUCUUUCCAUUUUCAAAGUAACUAGAGCUGCCCAGGUGGGCGAAGAGAGAAACCCAGUGUUCCUCUGCUCAGCUGCAGGAUUGCGAAGGGCUCAUCUGGAGAAAGAACCCUCCCGGUGUAUUCAGGAGCAUCUCGUAGAUACUGAAAUGUGUAAUGCAGUGUGAAUCCCACUGUGGGGAACACAGGAGCGCUCUGGAGCCAGAUGUGCGAAGCUUUAGCCAAGGUGCAGUGAACCUUUCGGUCUACUUAUAACUAAGAAGAGAGCUUCAAGUUUGGAUCCUACUCCAUACAGUUUCAGUAUUAUCUGACAUUGAUUAGUUUUACCUUUGGAAAGUGUGUGUGUGAAGGGGGGAGAUUAUUGAUCUUGUGAGACAGUUCAUGGUAUUCAGUUUGUCAGGGGUUAUUUCAUGUCUAACUCUCCCCAUUGAUAGGGCUAUUUGCUAUUGUGUCGAUUACAGCAGAUCUUUAUCUGUAUUGUUUAUCAUGUUAGAGCAUAGAUUGGCUGUUUUCAUAACAGGAAGCUGCUUGCUGUCUUGCCAUAUUAAGGAACUCCCGUGUGCACAAUAUUUUCCAAAGCAAAAAUCUAAACACACUGCAUUGGCUGGGUGACUUCCCUUGACUCAAGUUGCUUUUGUUCCUUGUAAGGCAAAAUUCCGUAUAGAUACAUAAACUUGCUACACAUGUGCAUGUUGUCUCUUGGCCUAAGAUACAGGAAAUACAGCUGUCCUCCUGUCAAGUUUAGAUACUUCCCAACAUCAAAACUAAAUAUCAACACUUUUUCAUAAGCAUCCACUGAUCUGGGGUGCCUUCCCUUUUGGUUGCCUAACCAGACACACCCAGUUCCUUAUUUUUCAGAGGCACUGAGGACCCACAGCUCCCACUGACUUCAGUUGGAGUUGAAGAUGCUCAUUGUUACAACCUGGCCUAAUACCCCACUGUACAGAUACCACUUUGUUGCAAGGGGACCUAGUCACUGGGUUCCAUGUACUUUCAAGCCCGUUGGGUCAGGGCAGAGUCUAGUCAUUGUUUCUGGCUCUGGGUGUCUAGGGCAAACUACCAGGCUCAGACCUCUUGUUGGUGCCCUUCCUUGGGACAGGGGAUACCGCUGCUCUAGUCCCCCAAAUCAGUGUCUCAGACCCCCUGGUCAUUUGCUCCUGCCCCCAUCGUUCCACCAUGACUGCGGGCUGUCUGGGCUAAUAAUUUAACCCCAUCAAGAAUAACAUAGCAGGAGAGUAAGGAACACAGGCUUAGCAUAGGAAUUUCUUAACCUAAGAGACUUUACUCUUAGAAGCCCUUGAGAAUUACAUAUCUCUGAACCUCAAAACCCCUGAGAGCCACUCUCCUUAUAUCUGAUCUCACCCCUUCUUGUGAGGCCGAGAUCUGUUGGCAUUGCAGGCCAGACAGAGACCCUCCUUUCUGCUCUCUCCUGCAAGCUGUUAUUAUAGGUGGUGAUAAUAGCAACCUGCAUGGAACUUGGAGAGAGGAGCAGAGGUUUCAGGAGGGAAGAGUUUAGAGGAGGCACCAGGAGCUCACUCUCUAUGCACAUGGCUGGAAUUCUAGCUGCUGUUGAAGCACCUCUGUAAAUAGUUCUUUUAAGAAAGACCAGUCUAGUUUUACAAGUUGUGACAGGGGACCCCUCUGCUCCUGUCUUCCUCUGCACCCACAGACCCUUGGAGACUCUCUGCAAUAAACAUCAUGUGUGGCUUAUUUACAGUGUUUCCCCAGUCACCCUUAUGGAAUUGUGGCACGCCGUAUCUACUAUUACCUAUUAUUCCUCAGCCACUCAGGCCAAGUAUAGGAGAGGGAAAAGAUAUCUCUCUGAGCUGUCUUUUUGCUCUGUCUCUCAAAACCUGCCUGCCUCACCCUGGCUCUCUUCCCUCUUCACUGCCUUCCUGUGUCGUCUUCUACUCCUGGAGCUAACAGGCUAAUUUGUGCUUUAACUCUCCCCAGCCCCUUCUAAUCUGCUAAAUAGGCACAGUUUUGCCAGUCAGAUUGACUCUGGGAUGAUUUAAUUGGUGAUACAGUGGUUAGGGUGCUGGUACAGCUGCUGUUGCCCAGCACUCUGUCAUACAAGUAUGUGUCCUUUCAUGUUAUUACUCAGCACAUGAAACAUGGUCAUAGUGGGGAGUCUAGUGAGACACACACCAAGGAACAGAGUGUGAUUAACAAGCAAACGAACACCUAGAAACAGCAAACGGGCAGCAUGGAGGGACUCAGCCCACCAGGAAUGCUGAAUUUCCAGACAAAAUACUCCACACCAGAGUGGAAGCAAGAAUUGAUUCUGUAUACAGAGCUGGCCAUCAGGGGCAAGCUACCACCUUAGGAAGAAAAAAGCACAAAUACAUGCAGUGAUGAGGAUACAGAGACUUUCAGUGAAGGGGCAGAUCCCACGAUUCUCAAUGUAUCCACGCUGCAGAAGAAGUCUGCCAGCCGUUCAUCUGGUCCCCAACCUAUUUGAUUCCCACUGGAUUGUGGAGCCAGCUGCAUGUAAUCCCAGCAACAUUAGGAAGCAGCAGUAUUAGACUAGAGAAUGAGGCCAAGUGCUGGUGAGGAACAGUAAAAUCAUUCUGAGACCUGAAACAAGAUGUCAUUGCCUGGAAUAUAUAGUAGACGACACGCAGGAAUAGCACCCACUGCUGGGCAGCAGGGUAGUGCAAGCCAUGGAUUUGAUCACAGUAUAGCACCACCAUUAUCCUCAUUGUGAAAUAGGAGGGAGAAUAGCCAUUGUGGGCCCUAUCCAGCAGCAUUCUAACAGUAACGGACCCCAACAUGCAGUCCACGAGGUUACCAAAAUGCAGAGUUCCAUUAGCUCUGGUGGAGCCAUUGAAGAAGGAACUGUCCAGCCUGAAAAGAAGAGGCAUCAUUACAAUUGUUUGAAACUAGCACAGAGUGAAUCAGCAGUCUAGUAGUGGUGAGAGAAACUAGUAA